AUUGAACGCUGGCGGAAUGCUUUACACAUGCAAGUCGAACGGCAGCACGGACUUCGGUCUGGUGGCGAGUGGCGAACGGGUGAGUAAUGUAUCGGAACGUGCCCAGUCGUGGGGGAUAACGUAGUGAAAAUUACGCUAAUACCGCAUACGAACUAUGGAUGAAAGCGGGGGAUCGCAAGACCUCGCGCGAUUGGAGCGGCCGAUAUCAGAUUAGGUAGUUGGUGGGGUAAAGGGCCACAAAGCCAACGAUCUGUAGCUGGUCUGAGAGGAGGAGCAGCCGCACUGGAACGGAGACACGGUCCAGACUCCUACGGGAGGCAGCAGUGGGGAAUUUUGGAUAAUGGGCGAAAGCCUGAUCCAGCCAUUCCGCGUGCAGGAUGAAGGCCCUCGGGUUGUAAACUGCUUUUGUACAGAACGAAAAGGUUUCUACUAAUACUAGGAGCUCAUGACGGUACUGUAAGAAUAAGCACCGGCUAACUACGUGCCAGCCGCCGCCGUAA
rnacentral:rRNA from 1 species